AAACCCAAAGAGAUCCUAUACCCUAAUCAAGAGAAUAAUAAGCGGAGAAAUAUGAAAGUGAAACCCCUCUCUAUCAUCAUGUUCAAUUUGUUAGCACAGCUGCAGAGAAAAAAGAUGGAGUCACUUAAGUUGUAGAAGCUUCUCGCCUCCAUCGUCUUUAAGUGUGGAAAGGGAAAGCCGGAAAGGUGUGGCUUGAUCUAAAUGAAAGCAAUGAGAUCUCCAUAGCCAAUUCUCGUCGUAUCAACAGGCAUUCAAGUAGCUGCACAGGGGCAUUUGCAUCUAAUAGCAGAGUUCCUGUCUGUUGGAGGCAUGUUGGCCUAGUUGACAAAUUGUGAUGGCCACUACAAGCUUUUUAGUGCUAAGGACGAGAGCGAAGACUUCACUGAUUUCAUAAUUUUUAGUGUUGACGUGUAAUUUCACAAGAAGAAUUAUGGUUUGUAAUACAUUUUAAUCUUAAUGUACAUUGAUUAAUUCCCACAUUUAAGUUUUUGUAAUGUAAGUUUAAUUAGUGCUAUUGACUUUGGGUA